AUUAAUGAUUACUUUUGUUAUUGGUUUUGGUAGUGAACAGUAAACGACCCUUUUUACUCUAUUUUGCGUUUUGUAUGUUAAUUUUGUGUUACGUUAAAAUGUCUAAAAUAACAACAUUUUUCACGAAGACAGUGUCUAAUACCGCUACUGUGUCAUCGUGUACGCCUGGUAGUAGUGAGACUGUUGAGAGUGACGAGAGUGUAAAUCUGAAAAGAUUACACAAUGCCGAAGAUGAUGUGCAACAUUUAAAUAAAAAAUUGAACACUGACGUUUUAAAAAUGUCUGGAUUCCGGCAAAAAAUUUUGAUUUUCCUAUACAAAAUAAAUGUAUGAAAAAAAAAUUAAAAUUCCAAUAUUCAUGGUUAUAAAAAUAUUCAUGGUUGGCUUAUUCAAAAAAAGAUGAAGGGGCUUACUGUCGGCACUGUGUAGUGUUUUCCAAGCAUGGAGGAGUUGGAAACCAAUUAUUGGGGCAAUUUGUACUAACACCAUUUUGCAAUUAUAAAAAUGCCCUCAAAGCAUUUCAAGAUCAUGCAAAGACUUCCUACCAUGCAUCAUCUGUUUUAAAGUCCCAGCAUUUUUUAAAUAUUAUAGAUCACACACAGCCAUCAAUAAUUGAACGCAUAGAUACAAAUCGAUUGGCUCAAGUACAACAAAAUAGGAAAAGAUAAGUUCCUAUUAUUGAAUGCGUUUUGUUGUGUGGAAAGGAAGAAAUUCCUCUACAAGGCCAUCGAGACUGGGAAAAUAGUGAUUGAUGAUAUGAACUCUAGGAAGGGUAAAUUCCGUGCUAUUUUAAAGUAUAGAGCGAAAGGAGAUGAACAUUUAAGAAACAUGUUAGAAGAUGGUGGUAAAAGAAAUAAAUAUACCAGUCCUAUAAUCCA